rnacentral:rRNA from 1 species
UACGUAGGGGGCUAGCGUUGUCCGGAAUCAUUGGGCGUAAAGAGCGUGUAGGCGGUCCGGUAAGUCCGCUGUGAAAGUCGGGGGCUCAACCCUCGAAUGCCGGUGGAUACUGUCGGGCUAGAGUGCGGAAGAGGCGAGUGGAAUUCCUGGUGUAGCGGUGAAAUGCGCAGAUAUCAGCAGGAACACCCGUGGCGAAGGCGGCUUCCUGGGCCGCCCCUGACGCUGAGGCGCGAAAGCGUGGGGAGCAAACAGG